rnacentral:rRNA from 1 species
CCUACGGGAGGCAGCAGUGGGGGAUAUUGGACAAUGGGCGAAAGCCUGAUCCAGCCAUGCCGCGUGUGUGAAGAAGGCCUUCGGGUUGUAAAGCACUUUCAGGGGGGAAGAAAGCCUUGGGGCUAAUACCCUCGAGGAAGGACAUCACCCACAGAAGAAGCACCGGCUAACUCCGUGCCAGCAGCCGCGGUAAUACGGAGGGUGCGAGCGUUAAUCGGAAUUACUGGGCGUAAAGCGCGCGUAGGCGGUCUGAUAAGCCGGUUGUGAAAGCCCCGGGCUCAACCUGGGAACGGCAUCCGGAACUGUCAGGCUAGAGUGCAGGAGAGGAAGGUAGAAUUCCCGGUGUAGCGGUGAAAUGCGUAGAGAUCGGGAGGAAUACCAGUGGCGAAGGCGGCCUUCUGGACUGACACUGACGCUGAGGUGCGAAAGCGUGGGUAGCAAACAGGAUUAGAUACCCCUGUAGUC